rnacentral:rRNA from 1 species
GACGAACGCUGGCGGCGGGCCUAAUACAUGCAAGUAGGACGCAGUUGCGAACGGGUGAUUAACGCGUCGGUCACUACCUAUUAGAGGGGGAUAAAUAUUGGAAACGAUAGCUAAUACCGCAUACUAGUAGAUGGACCUGCGUUGUAUUGGGUCGUAGGUAGGGUAAUGGCCUACCUAGGCAACGGUACAUAGCCGACUGUGGAGGGUGGUCGGGCAAACUUGGACGGGGAAAUGGGCCAGACUCCCAACGGAGGGAGCAGUAGGGAAACUUCGGCAAUGGGGGGAAACCUGGCCGAGCACCGGCGGGGGAGUGAAGAAGGUUUUCGGAGUGUAAAGCUCUUUUGUUAAGGAAGCGGUACUGAACGAGAAAGGGACGGCUAACUACGUGCCAGCAGCCGCGGUAAUAC